AUAAGUAUGAGGUAAUUGUUUUGCAAGGGAACCUUUGUUUAUUGGAGUCAAUUAGGAAUAUUUGUAACGGUGGGAAUUCUCCAGGAGCGUAUUUGAAUAUUUGGGUAAUGAAAGAAUAUGGCGUGACAGAGUCUUGGAACAAAUUUGAUAACCAUCACACAAGAGAGAGUAUACUCAGUUUCAGCACAUUUUUGUUUUAAGAAUGAUGCAGUUUUUAUAGUUAACAAGUCACUUUGGGAUGUUUCUGCAUUGCUGCGGUAUGAUUUGAAGAAUAAAGAAUUGAAGACUCUGAAGACUUUCGAAAUUGAGGUUCCUGAAAUGGUUUCAUAUGUUGAGAGUCUAGUUUCACCAAAUUUAAUUUGAAUAGGAUGUGGAUUUUUUUUUUUUAUUGUUUUAUUUUAUUUACAAUAGCAAUUUGUCAUAUCCAUCAAUUUCAAUUCCUUAAUUUCAUGGCUUUUAUUAUGUUUCAUUUGUUGUUUUUCUUUGACUUUAUAUGUUACUUCUUUUCUGGUACAUAUAAUUUAUGCUCUUGAGGCUUCUGCA